rnacentral:rRNA from 1 species
GACGAACGCUGGCGGCGUGCCUAAUACAUGCAAGUAGAACGCUGAAGGAGGAGCUUGCUUCUCUGGAUGAGUUGCGAACGGGUGAGUAACGCGUAGGUAACCUGCCUGGUAGCGGGGGAUAACUAUUGGAAACGAUAGCUAAUACCGCAUAAUAGUAGAUGUCGCAUGACAUUUGCUUAAAAGUUGCAAUUGCAUCACUACCAGAUGGACCUGCGUUGUAUUAGCUAGUUGGUGAGGUAACGGCUCACCAAGGCAACGAUACAGAGCCGACCUGAGAGGGUGAUCGGCCACACUGGGACUGGGACACGGCCCAGACUCCUACGGGAGGCAGCAGUAGGGAAUCUUUGGAAAUGGACGGAAGUCUGACCGAGCAACGACGCGUGAGUGAAGAAGGUUUUCGGAUCGUAAAGCUCUGUUGUAAGAGAAGAACGAGUGGGAGAGUGGAAAGUUCACACUGUGACGGUAUCUUACCAGAAAGAGACGGCUAACUACGUG